rnacentral:rRNA from 1 species
UACGUAGGUGGCAAGCGUUGUCCGGAUUUAUUGGGUUUAAAGGGUGCGUAGGCGGCCCUGUAAGUCAGUGCUGAAACAUCCCGGCUUAACCGGGAGGGUGGCAUAGAUACUGCAGGGCUUGAGUGAAGUCGAGGUAGGCGGAAUUGACGGUGUAGCGGUGAAAUGCUUAGAUAUCGUCAAGAACACCGAUAGUGAAGACAGCUUACUAGACUUCAACUGACGCUGAGGCACGAAAGUGUGGGGAUCAAACAGG